AGAGUUUGAUCCUGGCUCAGGACGAACGCUGGCGGCGUGCUUAACACAUGCAAGUCGAACGAUGAAGCCCAGCUUGCUGGGCGGAUUAGUGGCGAACGGGUGAGUAAUACGUGAGUAACCUGCCUUUAACUCUGGGAUAAGCCUUGGAAACGGGGUCUAAUACCGGGUACGACCAACCUUCGCAUGAGGUGUUGGUGGAAAGGGAUUUUGUACUGGUUUUAGAUGGGCUCACGGCCUAUCAGCUUGUUGGUGAGGUAACGGCUCACCAAGGCGACGACGGGUAGCCGGCCUGAGAGGGUGACCGGCCACACUGGGACUGAGACACGGCCCAGACUCCUACGGGAGGCAGCAGAGGGGAAUAUUGCACAAUGGGCGCAAGCCUGAUGCAGCGACGCCGCGUGAGGGAUGACGGCCUUCGGGUUGUAAACCUCUUUCAGCAGGGGAGAAGCGAAAGUGACGGUACCUGCAGAAGAAGCGCCGGCUAACUACGUGCCAGCAGCCGCGGUAAUACGUAGGGCGCGAGCGUUGUCCGGAAUUAUUGGGCGUAAAGAGCUCGUAGGCGGUUCGUCGCGUCUGCUGUGAAAGCCCGGGGCUUAACCCCGGGUUUGCAGUGGGUACGGGCAGACUAGAGUGCAGUAGGGGAGACUGGAAUUCCUGGUGUAGCGGUGAAAUGCGCAGAUAUCAGGAGGAACACCAAUGGCGAAGGCAGGUCUCUGGGCUGUAACUGACGCUGAGAAGCGAAAGCAUGGGGAGCGAACAGGAUUAGAUACCCUGGUAGUCC
rnacentral:rRNA from 1 species